rnacentral:rRNA from 1 species
AGCCCAGAGCCUGAAUCAGUGUGUGUGUUAGUGGAAGCGUCUGGAAAGGCGCGCGAUACAGGGUGACAGCCCCGUACACAAAAAUGCACAUAUUGUGAGCUCGAUGAGUAGGGCGGGACACGUGGUAUCCUGUCUGAAUAUGGGGGGACCAUCCUCCAAGGCUAAAUACUCCUGACUGACCGAUAGUGAACCAGUACCGUGAGGGAAAGGCGAAAAGAACCCCGGCGAGGGGAGUGAAAAAGAACCUGAAACCGUGUACGUACAAGCAGUGGGAGCACGCUUAGGCGUGUGACUGCGUACCUUUUGUAUAAUGGGUCAGCGACUUAUAUUCUGUAGCAAGGUUAACCGAAUAGGGGAGCCGAAGGGAAACCGAGUCUUAACUGGGCGUUAAGUUGCAGGGUAUAGACCCGAAACCCGGUGAUCUAGCCAUGGGCAGGUUGAAGGUUGGGUAACACUAACUGGAGGACCGAACCGACUAAUGUUGAAAAAUUAGCGGAUGACUUGUGGCUGGGGGUGAAAGGCCAAUCAAACCGGGAGAUAGCUGGUUCUCCCCGAAAGCUAUUUAGGUAGCGCCUCGUGAAUUCAUCUCCGGGGGUAGAGCACUGUUUCGGCAAGGGGGUCAUCCCGACUUACCAACCCGAUGCAAACUGCGAAUACCGGAGAAUGUUAUCACGGGAGACACACGGCGGGUGCUAACGUCCGUCGUGAAGAGGGAAACAACCCAGACCGCCAGCUAAGGUCCCAAAGUCAUGGUUAAGUGGGAAACGAUGUGGGAAGGCCCAGACAGCCAGGAUGUUGGCUUAGAAGCAGCCAUCAUUUAAAGAAAGCGUAAUAGCUCACUGGUCGAGUCGGCCUGCGCGGAAGAUGUAACGGGGCUAAACCAUGCACCGAAGCUGCGGCAGCGACGCUUAUGCGUUGUUGGGUAGGGGAGCGUUCUGUAAGCCUGUGAAGGUGGGCUGUGAGGCUUGCUGGAGGUAUCAGAAGUGCGAAUGCUGACAUAAGUAACGAUAAAGCGGGUGAAAAGCCCGCUCGCCGGAAGACCAAGGGUUCCUGUCCAACGUUAAUCGGGGCAGGGUGAGUCGACCCCUAAGGCGAGGCCGAAAGGCGUAGUCGAUGGGAAACAGGUUAAUAUUCCUGUACUUGGUGUUACUGCGAAGGGGGGACGGAGAAGGCUAUGUUGGCCGGGCGACGGUUGUCCCGGUUUAAGCGUGUAGGCUGGUUUUCCAGGCAAAUCCGGAAAAUCAAGGCUGAGGCGUGAUGACGAGGCACUACGGUGCUGAAGCAACAAAUGCCCUGCUUCCAGGAAAAGCCUCUAAGCAUCAGGUAACAUCAAAUCGUACCCCAAACCGACACAGGUGGUCAGGUAGAGAAUACCAAGGCGCUUGAGAGAACUCGGGUGAAGGAACUAGGCAAAAUGGUGCCGUAACUUCGGGAGAAGGCACGCUGAUAUGUAGGUGAAGCGACUUGCUCGUGGAGCUGAAAUCAGUCGAAGAUACCAGCUGGCUGCAACUGUUUAUUAAAAACACAGCACUGUGCAAACACGAAAGUGGACGUAUACGGUGUGACGCCUGCCCGGUGCCGGAAGGUUAAUUGAUGGGGUCAGCGCAAGCGAAGCUCUUGAUCGAAGCCCCGGUAAACGGCGGCCGUAACUAUAACGGUCCUAAGGUAGCGAAAUUCCUUGUCGGGUAAGUUCCGACCUGCACGAAUGGCGUAAUGAUGGCCAGGCUGUCUCCACCCGAGACUCAGUGAAAUUGAACUCGCUGUGAAGAUGCAGUGUACCCGCGGCAAGACGGAAAGACCCCGUGAACCUUUACUAUAGCUUGACACUGAACAUUGAGCCUUGAUGUGUAGGAUAGGUGGGAGGCUUUGAAGUGUGGACGCCAGUCUGCAUGGAGCCGACCUUGAAAUACCACCCUUUAAUGUUUGAUGUUCUAACGUUGACCCCUAAUCGGGGUUGCGGACAGUGUCUGGUGGGUAGUUUGACUGGGGCGGUCUCCUCCUAAAGAGUAACGGAGGAGCACGAAGGUUGGCUAAUCCUGGUCGGACAUCAGGAGGUUAGUGCAAUGGCAUAAGCCAGCUUGACUGCGAGCGUGACGGCGCGAGCAGGUGCGAAAGCAGGUCAUAGUGAUCCGGUGGUUCUGAAUGGAAGGGCCAUCGCUCAACGGAUAAAAGGUACUCCGGGGAUAACAGGCUGAUACCGCCCAAGAGUUCAUAUCGACGGCGGUGUUUGGCACCUCGAUGUCGGCUCAUCACAUCCUGGGGCUGAAGUAGGUCCCAAGGGUAUGGCUGUUCGCCAUUUAAAGUGGUACGCGAGCUGGGUUUAGAACGUCGUGAGACAGUUCGGUCCCUAUCUGCCGUGGGCGCUGGAGAACUGAGGGGGGCUGCUCCUAGUACGAGAGGACCGGAGUGGACGCAUCACUGGUGUUCGGGUUGUCAUGCCAAUGGCACUGCCCGGUAGCUAAAUGCGGAAGAGAUAAGUGCUGAAAGCAUCUAAGCACGAAACUUGCCCCGAGAUGAGUUCUCCCUGACUCCUUGAGAGUCCUGAAGGAACGUUGAAGACGACGACGUUGAUAGGCCGGGUGUGUAAGCGCAGCGAUGCGUUGAGCUAACCGGUACUAAUGAACCGUGAGGCUUAACCUU